CCAGAGUUGCAAAACUCCCACAAACCAUCGCGAAUCUUACCCGUACGGUUGCCUCGGCGCUGGCGGUCCGGUAGGCCCUCGGGCCCCCCGGAUCCUCGGGUCUCCCGCUCGCGGGAGGCUGCCCGCCGGAGUGCCGAAACCAAACUCUUGAUAUUUUAUGUCUCUCUGAGUAAACUUUUAAAUAAGUCA
rnacentral:misc_RNA from 1 species